rnacentral:misc_RNA from 1 species
UACGUAGGGUGCAAGCGUUAAUCGGAAUUACUGGGCGUAAAGCGUGCGCAGGCGGCGUCGCAAGUCAGGCGUGAAAGCCCCGAGCUCAACUUGGGAAUUGCGCUUGAAACUACGGUGCUGGAGUGUGGCAGAGGGAGGUGGAAUUCCACGUGUAGCGGUGAAAUGCGUAGAGAUGUGGAGGAACACCGAUGGCGAAGGCAGCCUCCUGGGCCAACACUGACGCUCAUGCACGAAAGCGUGGGGAGCAAACAGG